UGACUAAGAAAGCGAACCCUUUUUCAUUUGAGUUUCCAGUCGGCAUUCUCAAGAAAAUACGGAAUACAUCGACUGCCGCGAAGGCGCUUACAAGAAGAAAAAAAUCCUCCUGCUGAAAGAAUCUCAAAAAGAAAGAAUCUCAUCUUGAGCCCGUAGUUAGGCUCUCGCAAUAUUCUUUGCACCUUCGGACUAUCCAUGUUGACUAUUACUUUCUAAGUCGCCUAGUAAAGGAAAAGGGCAAUUCGCCUUAACCUUAACAAAAGCAAGAAGGGGGAAGAGUCCUACAACUUCAGUCCCAUUCACUCCAGACACUACUGACUUACAAGGAUUAGUCGAUGAUUUCAGGGCAACAAGUCAAGCAUUAGGCUGAGAGGCGGAUACGGUUUUCCCCGCGGAUUAGACCAGCAUGACCUCAGGGAUGAAUGAACUACUGACGGACAGGAUGAAAGGUUUGACCCUCCGUGAACCCUUAUCCGAUAGGGGAAGGAGGCUAGACUAGGUAAAUUGAAUACCAGCUGGUUUAUCAUGAAAUAAGAUAAAGGCUGCACAUGAAAAGAAAGAGUGCGAAUUGGUUAAGAAGCACGAGUCGAAGGGUGAAUCCCUUAAUAGAAUAUCCCUGUUCGAGUUCGUAUUCAAGCUAAGUAGAUUUUCCGAUUGAGAAAAGACUAAAAGCAAAGCUCCAGAUGAGUUUCAUUGAGUUGUUAGCUAUGAGUAAGAAGUUCGAGUUGUUGAGUUUCUUCACUCUCCAACAUUCACAGGAGAUGUUCCGUAGGUGAAUUCCUUGGCUAGGGCAGUUCGGAAAGAAAGAAAAAGACGGAGAAGCUGGAUCAGCAGCAUAAGGAGGAGAAGCUGCAGAAGGAGAAAAAGAAGCGAGGUUCGUUCUCGUCUCUCCCGAAGGAUUCGAAUCCUAAAGCUUGCUUCCAGAAAGAAGAUAGGCCGAAUAUAAAGUACUCAUAGCCGGUCUUCAAGCAGAAAGAAAGCAGGAUGCCAAAUUCAAGAUUCAAUGGAAAGAAAAAGACUACGAACAUUCUAAUGGCGCGACAGGCGCAAAGAUCGUGGCCCACGUAGCGGUGCAAUAAGACAGGUCCGAAGGCGCCAUAAGACAGGUCCGAAGGACUAUCCAUUUGAGUUGCGUGAGUUGAACCGAUUCAUUCUUCAUUCAUUCAUUCACGCAUAUUUCAUUGCGCCUCCGUUAGGCGCAAAGAAUAUUGCGAGACCGCGUAGAAGGAGUCUUAUGAAACCUGGACCCUUCUUUUUAAAGAAGAAGAAGUCCUACGUCCUACGUCCGCAGUCCUACGUCCGCAGGAUUUAUCCGUAGUCCGGAGUCCGCAGUCCGCAGGAUUUAUCCGUAGGACUAUCCAUUAGAAGGAGGACUAUCCAUAUGGAAGUAGGACCAUCCAUAUGGAAGGAAGUAGUCCUACGUCCGCAGGAUUCUUAUCCGUAGUCCGGAGUCCGGAGUCCGCAGGGCCAAAGAAAGGUCCAGGUGAUUUAUCCGUAGGACCAUCCAUAUGGAGGGAAGUAGUCCGGAGUCCGGAGGAUUCUUAUCCGUAGGACUAUCCAUAUUCAGGAGCGGAAUCAAGAAUAGACCCGUCAGUAUCCGGACCAGAAACCAUAAGAAAACUCUGUUCAUUGAUUUUCCCUAGAUUUUGCUAAUGGACCAGUUGCAAUUUCCCGGCUUUUUUGCUUCUAAAUAGGACUUUUUCGACUUUUCUUAUCUAACGAAAAUAGAUCAAUUUUGACUGAUUUUUUGUCUUUUCUUGCUACUUUAUAGGCCCAAAACCUAGCAUUUCCCUCCGCGGAUUCAUCUGAAAUCUAGCACAAAGAUGUCUGAAAUCUUCAAUCUACCAGAUUCAUAAUUCUUCUUUCAUUAUCGUUAAUGAGUUCAUUAUUCAGCACUUUCUAUUUCUUUCUCCUAAUUUGUAAACUCGAAAUCUGAAAAGAGCCUUCGCUUCUUUAAUGGGAACGUUGUAAAGGGUAGAAAACUCCUACAAGAUCCAGUCCUACGUCCGCAGUCCGCAGUCCGGAGGAUUUAUCCGUAGUCCGGAGUCCGCAGGAUUCUUAUCCGUAGGACUAUCCAUAUGGAAGUAGGACCAUCCGUAAUUAACCGAAGUAGUCCGGAGUCCGGAGUCCGCAGGAUUUAUCCGUAGGACUAUCCAUUAGAAGUAGGACUAUCCAUAUGGAAGUAGGACCUUCCGUAAUUAACCGAAGUAGGACUAUCCGUAAUUAACCGAAGGAGUGGGCUGGAGCUUUUGUUUUUGGAGCUAAAGUGGGCGCAGCCCACGGAGCGGUUCAAAGAAUAUUGACAAGACUUCCAGGCGCAAAGAGCGAGGAGCAAAGAUCUAUGGCCCCCAAUUAUAAGGGGUCCAGAUGACUAUCCACUAGGGAAUAUUGCGUGAGAAUAGUCCUUCGCCUAGAAAUGCACUUUGCUCCUACUAUAUAGCUCCGGACGAGUCAGGCGCAUAUUGCGAGGUGCAAUUCCGUUAAUAUGGAUAAGUCCUUCGGACCUGUGAAAUCCACUUUUUCUAGUGAGAGGUGAGCGGCAGAUUCGCGAGCCUAGACUUGCACCAUAUUCUGAAUUUCUUCAGACCCUUUUCGAGGAAUGUUCGGGUUAACGACCGAUAAAAGCGUAGAUCGAAUCAUUCUGUCCUGAAUAAUCAGAAUUCAAGACCUCCCCGAUUUUAGAAGAGAAAAAAAAACCUCUAAGUCGAGCACAAGACCCCUUUAUUUAUGGAUGUUCAUUGAGCCUUGUGGAUCCCAAAAAAAAGAAAGCUUUAUCCCCUGAAAAGCCAAUUAUGAAAAAGAGUAGCAAGAAGAUGCUCCCAAGUGACCGGUGUCGGCCAGCCAAGCAGAUGUGAUUCUUUCUCUUCCUUUCCUAUUCUCACUGACAUUCAGGGCAAUAUUCUUUGCACCUUGCUCCAAAAACUCCAAGAGCACACUAGGCACCAAGUCGCAGUGACAACGCUUUCCAGCGGUAGUCCUCCGGUAAUCAAGCAAGAAGAAAAAAGCAUUCCUCGUCGCGGCGACUAGCUUCUCAAGUGGGUGGCUUGGUAAGCAAGAAGCUACCUUCAGCAUCGGUCAAAUCCCUAUCAAUAAAGAAAUAGGCCGGAAUGGUGGGGAAGGAGGCCCUCCCUACUGAAAUGGAAAGGGGGGAAUCGCCCAGCCCUUCUUCUAAAAACUACCUUUCGCCCAACAUGAUCACAAACGAAGACAGAGAAUUGCGUAGAUAGGAGGAGGAAACGAACCAACCCACUUGUCCUGAUCGGAACGAACGAUUGAAGAAAGAAAAGGGUGGCCCCUUUCGCCCAGGGGACAUCGUCGGAGAACAAUGUCGGGGACAGGGACCUUCCGUUGGUUACGCCCUUUAAGUCUUGGUUCUUCCAUAUUUAGAUAUGGAGAUAGAGAUCUAUCUCCUUCUAGAGAAAGAUAGAUAGGCAAAAUUUGAUUGAUCUGCUUUCAAGAUCUAUGAACAAUCAAUGAACAAAGACAUUUGAAAAAAGAGAUGUGAAUAAAUAGAUAGGGCGGAGCCAGCUGAAGGAAGGUCGCGUGAGCGCCCCUGCAAUCAAACUAAAGUAAGAAGCGCGAAACUUUACUUUGAGAAAGUUAUAUUAGAAUAUUAGUGCGCGUUAGCCUAUCUAUAGUAAUGGGCUUCUCAAAGGUUUAGGGGUGCGUAGAUUUGGAACCCUAUCCCAUGGGCUUUCUCUGAGAGGGGCUCGCUUCUUCAAGCGGAGCUUGCUGUCUACUAAACGAGCCUUCACUGCCCGCCCGGCCCCUAUCUUUAAUAAAAAGUAAAGUGAAGUCAAAUAAAAGAAAGCCCAACCUCUUUCUUUUAAGCUUUUCCAGAAAGCAACUACUUAUUAAAGCUUUGCUUCCCCUAAUUCCAAAGCACAAGAAUAGACUUGCAAGGUAUAGGAAAAAGCUUUUCUUUGAUAGCGGUCAGGGUUCAGAAAGGAUCUGAUCCUAUCUCGAGACUGAAAGCGGGGGUAGGGGCGGAUGUAGCCAAGUGGAUCAAGGCAGUGGAUUGUGAAUCCACCACGCGCGGGUUCAAUCCCCGUCGUUCGCCCAUCAAUAAAUGGACCAUUUCUUACGGAGACAGAAGAGAAAGCACCUAUCAAGCAUUUUUUCUGCAAGUCAUCUCGAGGCUUUCAAAGGCAUCCAAACAAUUGGUAUCCGAUUAAAAGCAUAGAUUCGCCUCGCCUACUUACUUCAAGCACAAAUGGAAUGGCUGAUCAUUUCUUGUAUUCAGUUUUUAAGACCUCACUAAUCAGCCAACCACUUUCAAGUUCAUAAUGAAUGAGUUUUUUAGUGGAAUAAGACUCGUCCUUCCGCCCUCCCUUUUACUAAACCAUGGGGAGCCCCGAGUAGUUUACCGGGCAAAUUGAGUUCUCGUGAGGAGUGGAAGAUCGGAAAUUUUCUGAAUCACGAGACUACAGGUCCGAAGGACUAUCCAUUAGGGAAGAGUAAGAGGCGCAAUGAAAUAUGCGUGAGAGCAAAGACAGGCUGAAUGAAUUGAGAUUGAAAUUCGGCACUUGCUUCCUUCGUCUUAAGUAAAGUGUUGUUGACUUUUUAGAUUUGGAACUCUUAGUCGAGGGCGAGAUCUAUUUUUUCUUCGAGACGAGAUAUCGGGGAGGAACCGCCGCCCAAUGGUGCUUUUACGAAAGUACGGUCCCUGGUGGCUAAUACCUUCUCUACACUAUCGAACCCUCAACAAUAUCCCUGUCUUAUGGCGCCUCAAUCGUUUAGAAAAGAUUUUUUUCGACUUAACUCAGGCAAAAAGUGCCCUAUCUGCCUUGUUGUUCUAGGGGGGUCUUUUUUUUCAAGUCAAGCUCCGUAUCCCUACCUCUUUUUAGGUUGGCAUAACAAAGAAAAAGAGUGUCAAGAAAGAACACAUACCCCAUCACUUUUUGAAGGUUCGGAAUCGUCAGGGAGCCCCUAUAGACGUCAAAACUUGACUUCACUGAACCGGCACUACUCUUUGUCGGCUCCUACCACUCGUCCCUCGUCUGCUUGUCGAGCGCGCCCUUGGCCCUUGCUCGUCUAUAGUAGCCGAUCGAGCUUCUUCGCCCCUCUCCCGCUUAUUGAUUAGGGCGAGUCACUCAAGUCCCUUGUCACUCGACUCUCUUUUCUUUUACGAAAAUCCCUGGGUUUUUGCCUUUUUCGUAAACUAAACUCGCUCGUCAAGAGAGGAGUUGCCUCACUACGAAAGGUGUCCCAUGGAUGGACGAGUUCCUAAACUACGAAAGAUAUGGAGCGGAUGGCGUACUGAUAGAUCUCCUAUUCGUUCUGGAUCCAGAUGAAACUUUUUUUGAUAUUAGUAAAGCGCUAACGCGCCCUGAAAACGAAAGUAAAGCAGCAAGCCCACUCCUCCUUCAGCAUAAUCUAAAAAUAGGGCAAUAUUCUUCUCAAAUUCUUUGAGCCCUCCCCCAGUGCAAAGAAUAUUGCGAAGACCGCUCCGAAGGAGUCUUAUGAAACCUGGACCCUUCUUUCCAUAUGGAUAGUCCUACUUCCUUCCAUAUGGAUGGUCCUACUUCCUUCCAUAUGGAUGGUCCUACUUCCAUAUGGAUAGUCCUACUUCUAAUGGAUAGUCCUCCGGAUAAAUCCUGCGGACUCCGGACCCUGGACCUUUCUUUGGCCCUGCGGACUGCUUCGGUUAAUUACGGAUGGUCCUACGGAUAAAUCCUCCGGACUACUUCCAUAUGGAUAGUCCUACUUCCUUCCAUAUGGAUGGUCCUACGGAUAAAUCCUGCGGACUCCGGAUAAAUCCUGCGGACUCCGGACUCCGGACUCUAAAAGAAAUUGCCAAGUUUGAAAGGCAAAAAGGAUCUCAGAUCAUUUGCUUAAGACAUGCAAGUCAGGAGUUCAGACUCCUUUUCGCAAAUUCUUUGCUCAUGAAAAGGCGAACUUUCAGUCGCUUCGAGACUUUGCUUUCUCAAAUUCUUUGACCCUCUUCUGAAUUGCUUUCAGACUCCUAACGGAGCGGUCGGACCUCUUUUUUCGGAAAAGAUGGAACUCAAACUAGUAGUGGGCUUUCUUCCUUUCGUCUUUCUAUCUUCCCCACGUAGCGGCUUUCGUACUUAUUUGAGGUUUCAUGUGGAUUAAGAGAAGAGGCUUUUCGAGUCACAAAGAGAGUAAAAACAUAGUUCUUCUUUGAGGCUACUGUCCUUAUCGGCUAGCCUUCCCCUUCCGGGUUGGCGGGGCAAUGAAAAGACUUUGAAAUAGAGAAAGAAGCCAAUAGAGUAGAAAGUCAAUGAACAAGGCGAUCAGAAUUUUCGAAGGACUUCGGACCGUAGGAGGCUCAAAGAAUAUUGCGAAGAGCUUUCCACUGAUUGGAUAUGAGACCUCUAGCGAGUGCCUCAGUUCAACUUCCUGGUGAGGUGAGAAAGGGGAUUGUACUUAUUGAAUCUACCCUCCCUAGUCCCGAGAACUCUUUUAUCUGACUCAGUCUCUUCUUUUCUCUCGGAUGAAUCCCAUGAAAGUUGACUCUUUUUCGAAAAAGAGUACUAAAUCAAAAGAGAAAGCCUAUCCUUCUUUCUCAACCUAAUAAAUACCGUAACGAGUUGACGCUCCGUGGGGUAGAGAGAAUUGCUUCUUGCAAGUUCGGUCUGCUUGGAAUAGGCCAAGGCCCUAAUACGAGUUCAAGGUACUAGAGUAGAAUGAAUUACCUAAAUCAGAACCUGGGUUAUCAGAAGCUCUCCAUUUCGAAGUUCGUAGCCUUCGCAUCUUUUUCUACUUUCAGUUUCUAGUCGGACCAAGUGGAAUCUUUGAUACAUUCUUAUAUGAGUCCGACCGAGGACCCGUCCUUCUUAGUUCAGUGAUUGAAUCUACCAUAUGAACUUCCUUUUAGUUUGAGUAGGUUUCAAAACAUAAGAGAGAAAGUUGGAUUGAGUUCCAUAAAUCAGUCGGGAAAUAGAGGGUGACUGAAUAAGGCGCGAAGCGAAAAGCAAGCUUCUAUCUUCUAUUUUGAUGCGUCUCAGCCAAGCGAAAAGUUGGAAUUCAGGCGCUUUCCUUUGGUACGAAUCGCUGGAGUUGGCAUUGAGAGUGGAAGUUGGAGAAGUCCCUUGCUGCCGUUGAAGACUCCUCGGGGAGUUACGCAGCUUGAAAGGAGCGAAGAGCUUGACCGAGCUGGGGGGUAUCGACUGGAUAGGAUCGUGAUGAUUCCCCUAGUUGAAGUGACCUAUCGGGCAGAGGUUAGAUAUAGUCCUCACUGUAUCGGAUUGAAUAUGCUUCUUUUGCUUUACCUAGUUUACAAGGGGAAGUAGCGUAGCGCGUAUGCUCAUUCUUCUUCUUUUUGUAGCAGUUGAACUUCUAUUCUGAAUCUCGUGAAUUCACUCAUUGUCAUAUUCCUUCCCAUGAAAAGGAGAAAAUUCUCUUUCCGCAGAGGUUGAGCUUGAUAGGGCUCGGAAUCAGUAGCUGGAAUUAAACUACCACGGACCGGCAUAGGCAGACAGGUUAGCUCCCCAAGAGGCAGGAGAUAGGCUCGACCAGUGAGUCAGAAGCAAAAGAGACUCAAGGUUCGGGUCGGCAAGUAGGGAGUAGCAGUUCUUCUUUCAGUUUCAGUAGCCUCAUCUCUUGAGUAAGGCAACUUGCCUCAAACUCCGGUAAAUUCAUAAGGCAUAGGAAGAAAAAGGCAAAGGUCAAGAGGCUCAAAGAAUAUUGAGGAUCAGACUACUCCCAGAACCCACUACGCGGUGAGGAUACAAAGGUUAGGACUCAUGAAAUUCCAUAUUCACUUUUCUUUGAUCCUUUUCUUUAUCCGUCCGAAGGACUAUCCAUAUUAACCUGUCUGUCCGGAGGACCUGUCUUAUGGCACAAAAGUCAAUCAAAGAAAAUCAGUUCAUUAACGAUAAUGAAAGAAGCUCAAAAAGAAUCUGCUAGAUUUCAGAUGAAUCCGCGGAGGGAAAUGCUAGGUUUUGGGCCUAUAAAGUAGCAAGAAAUCAAGUCAAAUGCCUUCUUUUUCUACUUUUAUCGUUAAAUAUCAAUCUUCGAUUUACUAUGAAAAAGAAGCAAAAAAGCCGGGAAAUAGCAAGGCAUUGUCCUAUUUGAUUUUCGAAAUUCACAUGGAUCAGUUCUAGUUUGAGUUUCUGGUCCGGAUACUGACAGGUCUAUUCUGUAUUCCGCGUAGGAGAAAGAAGACAAAGAAAGAUAUUGCUGGUCGGAAAAGAAAUGAACAUAGUUUUCUUAUAGUUUGAGUUUGUGGUCCGGAUACUGACAGGGAUAUUCUUGCCUUCUAAUGGAUAGUCCGGAGGCGCAAUAUGCGAAGGCGCAAAGAAUAUUGCGCGCUACUCUUAGCUUGAUUUUCAGCCAGCCAUACCCAAACCUUGCUUGCAGCUUGCUUGAGACUUGGACUUGGCUUACUAACUAUACCUGGUGCCUGACUCUCAUGGAAAAAGAAAGGAAGAGGAAAGAGAGGGUGCAAAGUCUAUCCCUCCCUAUAUAGUCUUUUCUAUCCAAUUGUGCUCUUUGAAGCUUUCCAUCGAUCAGUCCUGAAUGGGGUCCUAUCCCGCUUCACCAACUUCUUACUAAGCAAAGGUAGUCAGGUGAACUCUAGCAAAGACCUCUGAAAUGUCUCCGAGGACAGUAAUUUGGAUUUCUUCGGAUUCGUGAACCUAGGAUUAGCAUCGAAGGUUUCAUUCCAUUGCCCGACUCUCAUCGUAAUGAGGAGGUUGAAUCUCAAUCCUAGUCUUAUCCUUAAUCCCUUGCUGCUCAAAGCCUUAGAUUGAAUGCCGACUUUGGAUCAAACCUUUGGCAGAGCACUAAAAUCACUUCUAAUGGAUAGUCCUCCGGACUGGUCCUCCGGCGCAAAGCAUAUUGCGGCUUUAUUUGGAGGAAUUCCGUAGCAGCUAAUUGAUCUAUAUCUUCCUUAUCAAUGAUCUUUGCUCCUCAUCUGGAGCCUUUGUUUUUGUCGCAGCAAAGGCGCAAAGAAUAUUGCGUGAUGAUGAAGACGACUAGAAAUAAAGAAAGCACUACGCGGGAAGAACUGGAUAAGGUCAGAGUAUUCGUUCUUUCUGGGAAAUUACAAACCCUGGGUUCUGACUUGACUAUUGUACGUAAAGACUGGACCGAUCCCAAGAACAAGGGCAAGGCGCGGCACUCUUGACUCCAUUUCCGUUCCGAAAUCAUAGGUAGAAAGCAUAGGAUAAGAGUCUCAGACGGACUAAUUCGAUAGAGUUGCAAGGAUAUAGAAAGAUUUCUCGCUAGAUCAGACCAAGGGAGGGCAAUUCAAGGGCCACUGCUGCGACUGAAGGUGACACUAGCUAUCUCGGAUAGGAAAGAGAGGCUUGAUCGGUAACCACAGAUUUCAAGGUCUUUCUCCACUGUCUGAAAGAGCCAUUGAUUCACACUGCCCGCUAUAGCGAAGAGAGAGGGGCGGAGCCACUCGACCGAUAGGGAGAGGGUUUUGGUCUCUUCUUCCUAAAUAGAGAUUCAACCGGAGAUGGGCAAUUUGAUUAGCUAUCUUGCUAUAAGGGUGGAGCGUAUGAUAAGCGAGCGAUCAGGGCUAAGAAGGGAAAAGAGUCCUCUUGUUUUUGAGAGGUGGACCUUUAGGGCCCCUCCUUUGCCGGGUAGGGCGGGACAACGGAUAAAGAGUUAGAAGAGGUUGAGAGCUCCUAAUUGAGCUGCUAUCUGCUGCGUAAAUGGAUAGAAAGGCAUCCUAAGCAGGGCUGGCGGGAAAGUAGCACCUUGCUCAGGAUGAGAGGGCUCCUUAUGCCGGGAAGGGCAGUUGAAUGUGAGAUCUAUCCCCUUUAGUUUUGAGGGUUGGCCUGAUCAAAGUAAUCGGGGAUGUAGUAGCCCAAGCACCUACUGGGAGUAGCCUCGUCUUCGCUCAGUGAUGGAAUCCUUGAAUCCAGUACAUUCUGGGUCUCCACAAUGGCUUUGAAUUAUCUGCUCUCUUCUGGCUGGAUGGGUUUCCAAGGUCUUCGUUCGAAGGCUAAUCCCCCUAGUAGGAUAGUCGGACUGAUUUUUAUCCAUUUCAUUCUUGCGGUAUAUCGGUAUCCUAGGCUUUCCUAUUUGUUGUUGGGUAGGCUUUCCAUAACCUUUUCCGCCUAUCGAGCCUUUGUCCUUCAGUUUCUUUUCUUUCUGGGAGUCUGAUUCAGAAGGUUUUUUCUCUGCUUCUUUCUGUCUUUUAUGAGAAAUAGAGUAGAGAAAGAUCUCAUGAAAGAUCGCGGGAUCUCCAUCCACUCGCACGGGUAAGAGGUUCCGGAGCUCUAGAUCAGAAGAAAGGCGCAAAGAAUAUUGCGAAAGAGAGGUGAAGGGGCUGUAGCCCUUGCAGUCCUUGUUGGAGGCAUGAAGGACCAAGGCUUAAUUCAAAGGCUGAUUUAUGGUCCGAAGGCUAGGCGCAAAGUUCGGUUAAUUACGGAAAGUCCUCCGGACUACUUCGGUUAAUUACGGAUGGUCCUACUUCUGUUAAUUACGGAUGGUCCUACGGAUAAAUCCUCCGGACUACUUCCCUCCAUAUGGAUGGUCCUACUUCGGUUAAUUACGGAUGGUCCUACUUCACUCCGGACUUUCCGUAAUUAACCGAACUUUGCACCUCUCCAUUUCAUGCGCUUCGCGCCGGAGGACGACUGAAAGGUGCGAAGCAAAGAGCGCGAGACUAGAGAGGAGAGGCUCAAUGUAAUAUGAGUUGAGAAGCGCAUUUAUCUAAGAAAAGAAGAAAGGCUCUUUGAAUAUUGAGAAUAUUGCUGGAAGAUUUGCACUGGGGGAUAUUCUUGAGAAGACUCAAAAUAGCGGGACUUCUCUUUCUUCUCUUAAAUAAUAGUCUUUCUUAAUGAGGGGAAAAUGGGUCGAGCUGUUCGGGAAUUUCCAUAAAUGAGAUGAGAGAGUCUUCUUGAAUAUAAGGCAGGCCACAAGGAGAGCUACUGAAGACUGCUCCUCCUACUUCCGGCGCGCUGACCAAUACUGGGGAUUUCUGGUCUGACCCCGGCGGCUUUCUCUUUAUUCCUUUGAUUUGAUUGGGAUUUUUUAGGUUUUUUCUUUCAAGAAAGAAUAUUGCGUCUUUGCGCCUCCGACGGAGCAGCUCCAAAAAGCCUCUGCGGUCAGUCCUUCGGACCUGCUGACGAGUCUGAUUCCACUAAAAAAUGACUCAAUAUUCUGAGCAAUAUGCACCUACGCGCGGAUAUUAUCGGCUAUUUAACAGCUUUUUUCUCCAUAAUACUUUUUCAUUUAAGCUAUUUAAGAGUGGUUAUUAAGCGGCUUUUUUUCGGAAGGCAAAGAAUAUCUCUGUCUUAUUUAUGGGAGCCUCCGUAGCUUAAUAUGUCAUCUUGACCUUUCUCGUCCCUUCCUCUUUGAGCGCUCCGACGGAGCAAAGUUCUUUAUAGGAGGCGCAAAGCAUAUUGCUCAAUUUGAGAGAACUAAAAAACCGAAGGAGGCGCAAUGAAAUAUGCGUAGAAGAAUGAGUCUACCUUUCAAAAAGAAACCGCGGAGUGGGAAAUCGUGAAAAAUGGGCGAUUUGGCGUGCAAUCUUCCAUCUUUCCUAUGCCCCAAAGUCACUAACAAAGUGAUUCUCACUAAAAACAAGGGUCGGACAGGCAGAACACAACCAUCUGCAGCACUCAAGUCAACGGGUCUCGCUUAACUUGCACUCCUUCUAAGUCGCUUCGCGCCUCAUGGUCUCGUCUUCUCUUUGGUGGGCGUAUUGGGAUUCCUUUCCUUACUCGAACUUCUGAACAAUCUUUCUUUGGGUUAAUAUGGAUAGGACUGAGGACCAGUCAAUCAAUCAUCAAUAUCCCUGUCUCGCAAUAUUCUUUGCGCCUGGAAGUCUCGCAUAUUGAAUUGCGCCUUCGGUAAAAUCACUUUGCUCCGUCGGAGCGAUCCAACUGAAUGAAAUAAGUCGAGCUUCCUUAGGCGCGUCUCGUGGGAGGCCUAGCCGGAUACUUCUCUUUUACCUUUUUGAUGCAAGGACGACUACAGCCUUUACUUUACCUCGGGCGAGCAGAAAGCCAUAAUCCUUUUAGGACGGAUUCCUCUUCCUAAAGUCGAGUCAUUUCAUUCCUCUUCCCGCUACGUGGGGUCGACCCUUUCCCAUAUAGAUGGUGGUCAUUCAACUCAUCUGGAGCUUUUCUUUUUGUAGUCUUAGGCCGGGGCAAUAGAAAGUUCCCAUGCUGCUGUUGGGAACGUAGAGUUCGAGAUGAGCACUUAUUGAGAAUGGGGGGGAAUCUUUUUGAUCAUAUUUCUUAGUUAAGAAUCUAAGCUUAUCAAGAACAAGAGAAAGAAGAAAAGCAAGGAAAGACCCCCUACGGGAACGGCUGACGCUUUUGCCUUGAUCCUCUGCUGUUUUGGGAGUUUCCUUUGUCCCUGAACUCCGCCUUAUAAGAUUAGUCUUAGAGUGAGUUCAUCCCUUCCAUUAUACGAGUGAAUGAAGUGACCUUUUAAAGGCCUAAUAACCUUGAACUCGGUAGAAAGAAGGCAUCUUAUCUUUUUUCAUGCCUUUCCUUUUUGAUCGCCAUUCUCUUCUUUGUUCUUGUAUUUUCUGGGGAUCGUGGGGAUGGCAUGGGACGCCUCUUCGGAGGAGUUCUUCACUUAUCCGAAAUAAAUGGGUGAGGACGAGGAGGAAUCCCGCCUUUACCGCUACGUGGGAUCAACCGGCUGGGCCACCUGACUUUUUCCCUGUAAAAUAGUCCAUGGGUCGGAUCGUCCAAAAGAUGAUUCCCAGUGGUGAGACCUGAACUCGCAUCUCUCGCCCUUUGCUUACUUUACGCGCAUCAAUCGUUAAGAUUUGCUUUCUCUAACCCAGAGUGAGAACUAUCACUAGAUUCUUCAUCAAAAGUCUUGAGCGAGGACAUCAAGCAAUUGGGUCCAUUACACCUUUUUCACCUUCAAAGAUUUCUGGGUGGACAAUCAAUGUCUUUACUGGAAGGAAGAAGAUCAAAAACCCCAAAAAUAGGAGAGCGGAUUCGCACCCGGAGGGAGACAAGACGUCAUCACCAGAGAGGAAUGCUCUUGCUCAAUAGAGUUGACUCUGGUCGGAUUAGUUUAGGGAAUGAAGUUGCUCAUGAGUAAGGGAAUGAUAAGGAUAGGGUCCGGGUAGAACUACUACUUUAAUUGAGACUGUAUGAGACACCCCCUUUCUAUCCAUCCUGUAAUCUCCGAUAAAAGGUGCGAAUACUAUUCCUUAUAGAAGGUUCGGGCUGGCCCUUGCUAGGCAUAAAAGGGCGCCCACGGAGCGGGCGAGGUUGAAGUUUCAUAAGGAUAGGUUGAAUAAGCAGCAGUUGCUUUCCGUCUUCUAUGAUCUCUUUCAUUCCUUAUUCGAAAGAAGGCAAAGAAAGUGGAAAGGAAAUCCUGGGAUUGUAACCAUUGAGCUUGAACCAUGAUUUAGAGUGAAAGGUUAGGCUAUUUGCCUUGGGCAAGGAGAUCUAGCUAGAGAUCGCAAGAUCGAAGAAAAGCUUUCGCAUCCUCAACUACAGCAGCCACAACUACUGGAAGAAAAAGACUUUUUCAAGAACCACUUCUGCAAGUGCUCCAUUAGUUCUUUGCUUUCCUCUACUUUCGGAUUCUAUCAUAGCUUCAGAAAAGAAAAGGGCAAUAUUCUUUGCGCCUCCCCCCGUCCUCCGGACUAUCCGUAUUAACCUAGCCUUCGGACCUGUCUUAUGCAUCCUUACUCAAAUUUCAUUGAUCCUCUCCGCCCCGUGGGAGUCUGAAAUAUUCUUUGAACCUCUCCGGUCGAGCAGCGGCUUUGCACCGCUCCGUGGGCCUCUUUUCUUUCAUCUUCUUUGAAUCUCACCGGGAUAAAUCAGCCUAAGGAAAGAUGUCGUGGAUGGAAGAAUGGAAGUUGGAACGUCAAAUCAGCCAUUUGGCUAGUCAAAUGUGAGGUAAAAUCGUACUUUUGGAACCCACUCCGCCUACUAUUUGGAAGAAAGCCUAUCCUUCGAUGGGGUGAAAGCCUUCUUAUCCAGGUGGCUACUUACUAACCUCGUCGAGUUCUAGCCUCUCCCUUUCUUAAGAGUUGCUUCGCGCCUUGCUAUGGUCAACAAGUGUAUGCCUUUGCUCCCUUCCCUUCUCUGAAUAUCAGAUGUGCUGGUGAGGCCUUUGUACGUAAUGCUCUUUAUGGGCUUCUGCCGAUUCCCCGCUUCGCAAAUUCAAAGCUCCUAACGUCAAAUAAGAAGUAAUAGUAUUCAAAUCCCCCGUCCGAAGGACAGACGGGUUAAUAUGGAUAGUCCUUCGGACCUGUGGACAUCUACAUUGUUUUUAGUGGACAAAAGACAAAGUACUAUAUAGAAGGCGCAAAGAAUUUGCGAAGAAGGCGAGAAAAGAGGGAUAUUGUUGCGUGAGAAAGAAUUUUCUCUUUUUAUCCCCCCAGGUCCGAAGGACUAUCCAUUAGGGGAUCCCACGUAGCGGUGCAAAGAAUAUUGCGAGGCGCAAUGAAAUAUGCGUAGAAGAAUGAAUCUACCCUUUACCGCUAAAUAGGAGCAGCUUAAUAUGUGAGCGGUAGGCCUCUUCUUCCUUAGAUCGCCCCUGCCCGAGCAGGCUUGAUGGAUUGAUUGAUGAAAUCAUAUAUAGGACAAAAACUCCCAACGUAGACGAGGCACACAGUAAAGAGGGAAAGAGACCAAACUCACUCACGAAAAGGAAAGAUUGAAUGAAAGAGGGAAAGGUCUCAUCAUUCUCCCGAACGUACUCACUCGCCCGCCCAGGACAAAGAAGCUCGAGGCCCUUGUUCAUUGAGGCGGUUAUGGACUUGCUCGAGGUUGGAGUGAGGCAUAACCUCUUCUAUCCUAAUCGGCGCAUAAGGAAGAGACCAGGGGAAUUCAGAAAGAGAAGUGGCUUGGUGUCGGAACCCUUGGUCUUUUAGUCGUCAAGUUUCAUUCACAUUUUGAUGAUAGGUGCAAAGAAUAUUGCGAGACAGGGAGAGGGGCGAAGAGACUCGACCGUAGGGAGAGGGGCGAGAACUAUCUAUUCUUCCGCCAUACCCAAAACGUGAACACGGGAUUGGACGUGCUUUCUUGCUUAAACCCUUGCACAUGCUCAGGAUCGUCGGAUAAGGGAGGGGUAGAAGUAUUUACGGGGAGAAGGGAGUAAGUGCUCUCUAAAGGGCUGGUUCGAAGGACCGAUACGAAGCACUGCCUUGAGUCCGCCGCCGAUGUUGACGAUUGUAGAUGGGAGCUUUCCCUGACCUCUUAUUCAAGGAGAUUUCGUUUUCAUAUUUGACCGCCCUGAAUUUCCUUAUGUUAAGCCUUUUGACCUCGUAUUUGACUUCCGAAGAUUUGACUCCUUCUGCAUUCAAACUUCGUAUUCAAAAGAAGAAGGAGGCGCAAAGAAUUUGCGAAGAAGGCGCUUCUAAUGGAUAGUCCGGAGGACGGGGAAUGUGAGUUGCAGAAAGAAAAAGCAUGAACUAUCAGGUCGGAAGAGGUCCCAGGAGAAUAGGUUUCGUCAGAUCUUGAGAUAAGAAGAAAGGAUAGAAAAGCAACUCCACCAGGAUCGGGGAUAGGUUAGCCCAGCCGAAUGGGCCUAGUAGUAGUGAGGUAGGACUGAUUAAUACGAGAGCAAAGGUGCGAAGGUGCAAAGAAUAUUGCGAGAGGUUCGAAUACGAAGAGUCAGAAGUCCCAUUAUGAAUUCAAGACCGAAACCGUUAAGCAAAUGAGACCGAGGUGCAAAGAAUAUUGCGGAGAUGAAAUUGAGUUAGAAGAAAACUUGAAUCUCCCUGGCGAGAAGAAAGGAGACCUACGAAGCAAAGAAGCGGAGCGGUAGACUAAGAAGUCAAUAAUCAGUCAAAGGGCUGCACCGCUGGUCCCCAACCCAAAGACGGAUGCGCAUCGGCGAUCAUGGAAAGGAGCGAAGGCAGAGAAUACCCCCUUGCUAGGGCCAGAGCUGCUCGACUCUCAAUCUCAAGUCCUCCAAGGAUAAAGGCUAGGUCCUUUUCUCAUACCAAUAGGGGGCAUUCAAAAACCUUAGUUUAAUGGAAUGGCUAGUCAAGACCAGGGUAGACCCACACCAGGGAGAGGGCGAAUAGAGGCUGUCCGGCGACGAAGGUGUUCCAGCCAAAACAGCUACGUGGGGUUGAUCCUAGGGUCUUCUUCAGUCCGCUUGGACAGCUAGAAACUAUCUUCUUCAAGGAAGCGCUUGACUGAAACUAGAAAUGCUAUAAAUGGUGGAGUCGUCUUGUGCAGGUUCUAGGCCUGCCUUCCCCCAAGUUCAGGGGUUAGCCUCCCUUUUCAUUUCAUUCAGGGCAUCAUCCUCACGUGAGGCAAUCCAUGACUUGACUUAUAGUUCACAUUGAGCUCCCUCUCGUCCUCUAUUUGAUUGGGAGAGUGGUUCGCAACUAUCAGAUAUAGAUCUCUUCUUUCUUUCCAGAUCUUUUCUUUGUUUUGUCUGGAUGCCCUUUUCGGGCUCACUUCCUAAGAACCCAGCCCCCAAGAGGAAAUGGACAGGCAUUGAAAAAAGCCGAAGCGCUGGCAAAAACCUAGAUUCUAUCCAACCCACUCGUAGUGCCCUAGACCUGAGGGGUUAGGUUAAGGGAUUCAUUUUUCAAGUCAAAGAGGGCAGUCGCUGGGCCUUCUUUCUUUGAGUCACUCGCUCCGGGGAGAUCCUCUUUGGUAGGGAUGGGACUAAAGAGCUCUAAAGAGCGGCAACAGCUUAUCCGAAAAAAGCAGUUCUCUUAUCUUAUCGAAAAAGGUCUCGCUUUGUCUCCUGAAGUUCAAGUCAGAAAAUCAAUGAAGAAGUCGAUGCCCACGUAGCGGGAAAAGACGAAAGCAGGGAGACAAAGGCUCAAAGAAUUUGAGAUAGGCUUUCAGUAUUAUUUUGAGGUUCUAGAGGCGCAAUGAAAUAUGCGAAAGCAGGGAGCAUCAAAAUUCAUGUAUAGGGCUUUUUUUGGAAUGAAUGAUCCUACUUCUUUAUCAAGCUUAAGGAUAGGUCGUCCGGAGGACUUGUUUUUAUCCAUCUGAGCUGGUCAAAAUGCAACAAAAAAGAAGGGAAAACGCAAUAGAACCUACUAUUAUAUUAAGCCUAUCUGAUGCUUCUCUUUGCAUUCUGAGAAAAGAAAAAAUAAGGAGGCCUACGACUAAAAAAUACGGCUCGUCAUAACAUAAAAUCAAUGCUUUUAGUGAAAGGCAACUCAUAUUACAUUGAGCCUGCCGGAGAGGGAAGAACUGUUGUUGAGAGACAGGCGCAAAGAAUUUGCGAAGAAGGCGCAAUGAAAUAUGCGAGGCGCAAAGAAUAUUGCGAUAGCUCUGACUUUGAAAAUAGCUUAACCUGUGGAAUAAAGAAGUGAACUCAUUAUUAAAGAGAGAAUUUACGGGAUUGGUCUAAUCAAUAAAUAAAGAAUAGUCGCAAUAUGCGCCUUUCUUCUCUUCAAAUUCUUUGAUCCUUCUCACGGCAGCUAAGGAUAUUCUUUCUUCCCGCUCCGUGGGCUGACUUUGGGCCUCAGUAGCUUAAUUAAGAAAGUCAAAUCCCAUGAUUCCUCCUCUCCGCAAUAUUCUUUGCACCUUGCCUUUUUUCCUUCUUUAUAUUUCCGACCCCUUAUACAAAGGCUCCAUAAAGAAAUACGGAUUGGGAUUCACGGAUUGGAUUAUCAUUAAUAAGCAGUUCAGAUCUUGCUGCCCUUUUCGAGCUAGACCUCUAUCGAACUAAACCUUACUCAUUUCUAAUACUAAUACCGGGAGGGCACCGAUGUACAGGGGCUGAUUUUAGAAUUCCGAGUGCCGAGAACGGGGGCGUCAAAGAGAAGAGGUAUAUCCUUGCACGGCGACGAUACCCUUUUCUCGGUCCGAGCAUCCCACUCGGAUAAUGAGUCGGAUAAUUAUUGGUAAGCGAAUCCUGUUCGCGUUCUCGGCCGAGCAAAAGCUCCAUUGCCGAGCAAAACCGAAGGUGGCCAGCCGCAUAGUCUCUAAUUCAGAUCUGGAAUUACAUUCUACGUCCGACUGCCUUGUGUGAGAAGGAGGGGAGAUAUUUAUAAGUAACCGAUUCGGGAAAGGGUAACUUCAACCUUUACGGGCCUGGGGAAGGCCUGCCUACUAGUUUAGUUGGUCUAGAGCUAGUCUAGUAAGACUAAAUAGUAGGUGGUAGCCUUAGGGCCCCAAACGAGGUUAGGGAAAGUGACACAUUUGAAAAGUGAGAAAUCGCACUUUCCCGGUUACCGUCCACGCUAAGAUAGAAGAAGGCACUGCCCGUGUGGCUUCAACCUCUGCUGUGGGUCUUUCAAGACGAAAGACCAAGGCCUGAUCACAGCGGCCGUACACAUCCGUUAUUCUCUACCAAGGGAAAUGUCUACUAGAUGCGUAAAUCAGAUCGUGACAAGAUCUCAAGUUGCACCACAUCUCACUUAGGUCCAACCCUUGGUUCGGUUGGUGGCAUCGCGAAGUCAAGUGAAUUUCACAUCAAUUUUCUGAACCGGUAGAUCGGAUUGGUGGCGGUUAGUCAACCCCGAAAGAAGGGGAGUGAGAGAUGCGAUAAGGGUCAGGGGAUGACUUUGAAAGGUCACAUAAAAGUUCAGCGUCUCGAUAUUCACGCCGAUCGGGACCGGUCCUCCGGCAGGUCGCAAUAUUCUUUGCGCCUCGUUGCGCUCCUUGAUUCUUUUCCGCAAUAUUCUUUCCUCCUAACUACUAAUGGAAAGUCCUUCGGACUCCAUGAACUGUGAAAAUACGAUAUGAGAAUAGAUAGUUCUCGCUUGAGCUCUCUCUUACCUUUCUAGCUUCUCCAACUCGGGAAAGAUCUAAAUCAGGUCUAGCUUCCGAGACAGAGAAGAACGAUUUGAAACUUUCCAUCCAGCGCCUAUGUCAAAACCUAGUUCAAGAUCGAAUGAGCACUGAAAGUCUGACUCGAGUCAUUAUGUCUUUCUUAUCCGUUAUAUACUCCACAUUCUAGAAGUUCAUAAAGAAAGAAAGUGAACAAGAAAAUGGAAAGUCUCACUCUCAGAAAGUUAUCCAUCGCUUGAUACUAACCAUACCUUUACCGGCUUUCAUAAAAGCCAUUAUUAUAUUAUUUCUGGCCGUAGAAGGCAUCAAUCAUAUUUCAUGGAUCCUCCCUUGCCUUUUUCUACUUUCAGUUUCUAGUCGGCGUCGGACUCCCAUAAAGAAGAGAUUAGGCUUUCCUUUAUGUCUUCUUUUCCUUUGUCGGCUAAUAAGUUGAAUGAGAAAUUGAACUUUCAAGGCCGCCAGAUGGAAUCUACAGCCCUUGCACCCAUGAAACUCCUUUUCCUAAGCCACUCCUUCCCUUCUCGGUGGGUCAAGCCUUCUCACCGCCUCAAUGAAGAACCGCUGACUCUUCCCGGAGAAUGCUACAUCUCUUUCUUCCACAGCGACUCUACUGAAGAAAGAGCGGCUGCCACUGCCUCAAUGAACAAGGGUCUUCGCUUAGCCCCGAAUGAGGACUCAAUUUCGACUCCUUCUUCUCCGGAACGAUUUUGAUGCAAUUACUGAAUUUGAUAUCUUCCAUAACCUUUCUAGAGGCCGAGGGCUCGAUCUAGCUCAUUCCCGACGAAGCACGGAUCGAGCGGACGGACUCACGGAUGUGAAUACCUCGUCCUCCAUGGCUACCUUCUUAAAUGAGAAAUGCUACCUCCUUAGAAGAAGACCUCUGAUCCCUAGGCGAACCUUCCAAACCUAAAAAUAAUACGAAAGAAAGCCUUCUCACCUUUAUCUUAUCUUUCAGGGAGCCUAUUUGGGGCUAUGAGUAACCCCGCGACAGGUCAAUUCCCACGUAGCGGUAGGUUUUCCCCAUGGAAAUAUGAAAGUCUUGUUGUCAAAUCAUCCCCAGACAAAGAGCAAACUCACCCCUAGAGGUCGGACGGGCAAAGCCACGAGGAGUCUGACGAGAGGGAAGUAUCUACUCGUAUGAGUAAAGGCAGCGAUCAGUUCAGCAGAGGCCCAGGCGAGAGGCUCAGCUCAAGGAGAGGCAUCCCUUUCAGAACAAGCUGUAGCCCUCGAGUUCUUUAUUGAUUGAUGAGCAAUCUUGCUGAACUUUGCCUUCUUUAUUUAGAUCUGAAAUCAAAGGCUGAACUGAAUGUCCCCUACAGCAAGAAGGACCAACCUUCUACCCUACCCUAUUUACUGGAAUAUUCUCCCUGGGAUCAGGAUCAGAAGCGAGACCAGACCUCAAUGAACAAGGUGAGAAGGCUUUCUUCUUUUCUCCUUUCUUAAUAAUCGUGGGGUUGAUCAGAGCUAAGCUCGAGUGAGUUGUAGAGUGAGAGGAAAGGAAAAGGCUCGACUCGAGGAGGUCUUCUUAUCUUCUUUCUUGUUUCGGAGUUCACUCUAUUUGAACUCUCUUUACAUUCUGUUUAUACGUUUUUCGUGUACAAAAUGAAAGAGGGAGAUAGGCGCAAAGCUCAAAUACUUUGAUCCUUUGAACCUUUUAUUUGAAGCUGCUGGAGGCAAAAAAUUGCACAAGCUCAGUGGUCCACUUCUCGUUGAGGCGGCAUUAGGCAAUUCAGCUGGCAUAACAUCCUUUCAACUUUAUAGGAUAGGCAAGAUCUCUGAGGGCAGGUUCCUUGCUGGCUCGAGGACUCCUUCCUCCUUGAGGCAUGCUAGGAAGGUGGGCUGCGCCUUCUUGAAUCCCUUUGAGAGCUGCAUUGCUGAAAUUUGCCUUGCUUGAAGGCUAGACUCUCGUGCUAACGGAACCAUGGAAGGAUGGCCUUCUUCCAAGAUGCACAAACUCUUGCUGAAAGGAAUAGGUACUGCCUUUACUUGGUCUAAAAAUUCAAUGCCAAGAAGCACAAUGGGAUAAUCAUCCGUAGAACUCCGAAGUCAAUCUCUCCACUCCACUGCCCCAAGUUCACGCCACGAGCUACUCCGAAGAUGGAUUUAGGCCCUGAGUUUUUUACUGCCUUGAGCCAUCCAGGCUCCUUGAUCUAUUUUACGCCCAAAGGCUCAGCUUCCUUCUCCUCUCGAAAGUUGUUGGUAGCCCCUGUGUCCACCAUGGCUGUGUAGUUGCCUAGUUUGCCUUCUACAUAGAAGGGUCCCUUCCUUGCUGCCUUGGGCACUUCAACUUUGGCCUGUAUAGCAUGAAAAAUCGAACUUGAUCCCAUCUUCGUCUCCUCGUAGCGCCGAAAAUCCAGACUUCUCAAGAAUAUCCCCCAGUGCCGCAAAUUCUUUGCGCCUUGCACUCCUUUCUUCUUUUCUUAAAUAAAUGCGCUUCGUAGAUUAUGCUGAAGGAGGAGUGGGGUCCACAAUUGAAGGAUUUGAUGGGCUCCCCAUCCUUCUUCUUGUCCUUGCUCCUUGCUAGGACUGCCUCCUUUGCUUUUGCCUUUAUCGUAGCCUUUUCUGACUUGCCUCCCCCACUCUUUCCCUUGCCCUUCUCUUUGCUGGCUUUGGAAAACUCAGGCUUCUUGAACUCUAUCAAGGACUCAGCUACUGAAAUGGCUGUGGCAAGGUCCUGGACUCCGCGUCUCUGCCAAGUGCGCCGUGGCUUAAACUCAAUUUUCUUUGAGAAGCUACAAAGGCAAAGUCAAUCGCAAUCUGCUGCGCUAGUGAUGAUUGGGAAGUACUUGACCUUUUUCUUUUCUCCAACUCUCAUUGCAAGAGAAUCAACUGAAACUGGCUUGGCGGAUACUGCGGGCUUUCACCGCUAAUGAACCCGAAGGUACGGAGUAGAAUGCUUUCCCGCCUUAGAGUGUGCCAGUAGCUUUCUUCUCUCACUUCUUUCAGAUCAAUGAAGUUGAAAAGGAAUAGAGUAUACAAAGCUCUCACUCCAAGAACUCUCAUAGUUGUGAGCUUAACUACCUGUGCAAAGAGAAUCGAUGCCUUCUAUCUUAGAGUAAGCAAGGGCUAGAAAUCGAGGACCGCUACAGCGAUUCAAAAUUGACCAUUUCGAUCUAUCUCCUUCAACAGUCUAGGCCAUCGAUAGUCGGACUGAUUUAUGGAACUUAUCCCUCCAUAAUGGCGGAGAAGGUAGGAAACUUCAGCAAAGAAGCGGCUCGAGCAGAAAGCCUUUGUUCAGACAAGCUUGAUAAAGAAGUCCUUCGGUUCAAAAAACCAAAAUCAUAGUAUGAAUCUUUGAAUAGACAGGACAUUCUUUCUUUUUGUUUGGUCCUCCGCCUAAUUCAUAUGGGGAUCUGCCUCAUUCAUAUGGAUCAAAAUCAGUCCCACUAUUUCAAAAGAAAAAUAAUAGCUCUCUGAAUCUCUGGGUUAAUGUUAAUAUGGAUAGUCCUCCGGUCUCGCAAUAUUCUUUGCGCCUAACGGUCAAUGAAAUAUGAGAAGAUGACAUUCUUUAUUUAGCAAGGUUUCAUAUUGCUCAAAGAAGCGGAUAAGACAGAGGCAAAGAAUUUGCUGUUUUUACCGCGUAGUGGGUUACGGAGUGAAAUCAGCCAAUCGAGAAAAAGUGGAAUAAAAACCGCGUAGUGGGCUAGAGCUUGAUUUUUCUGGAGUCCUUUGGCCUUCCUCUCUUUUCUAGAAAGUCCACUAGUAGCUCCAUCGCUGAUAUUCCUCGCAUCUUCAUGCGCUGUGAGUCCUCCCACAGGUCCGGAGGAUUUAUCCGUAGGACUAUCCAUUAGGACUGAGGAUCAAAGAAUUUGAGAAGGAGAGAGUUGACGAAUUUCAUGUUCAAAGAGCCAAUAGGUGAAAAGAAUAUUGAAUCCGUGGGCUUCUCUACCUUUCCAAGAAAAUGGAAACCCAUUUGGAUGACUUAUCAGCCGAUCCGACCCGAGAAUGAAGGCCAAUCCCUCAUUUAUUAGGAAAAAUUCAGGCAAGGUGAAAUUCAAUAUGACGAAGCGAUAAAUAGUGGUUGAUCUUAGAAUAUAUAAGUGGUUUAUCAAGCUCUGCUCAAGAAAUAAGAAAAUAAUAUGAAAGUGGUUUAUCAAGUUCUUUUUUAUGACUGAAAUCUGCGAAUCUAAUAAGUUGAUAUUAGAAAGUAAUAAAGUGCCUUUAUCAAGCCCAGAAGAGCUUUAUAGUCUUUAUCUAGCUUAGGCCUCUUUCUUUACUCAAUCUAGCUUAGGCCUCUUUCUUUACUCAGGGCCACUGAAGACUGCUCAUACAGCCACAACUGCGACCGGAACUGCUGAGGACGAUUCCUUUGGCUUUCUUCCCCGCUUCGAUUGAUUCCCGGCUUAAAUAGGCGAGUCCUGACUACAUCGCAUCGGCUUAACAGAAUCGAAAUCCGAGUCCUGCUGAAAUGGUCCCUAUUAUCUUCUUAUGUAUCCUAAACCUCCUCAUAUGAUUAUCAGAGUUCCGAGAUGAGAACAGUUCUUGCAAUGACGGACUCACUCCCAAUCUACAAUAUCUUUCUUCUUUGCGCUGGAGGUCCUUCAAUGCCCACGUAGCGGGUUUUAGUUCCAUUAAUCAGUCCUCCGCGGGUAGAGUCCGACUAGAAAAAAAAUAAGUGGAAUGAAAAAAGAAAGAAUGUCUCUUCUCAAAUACUUUGAGCCGGAGUUAGGCGCAUAAUAUGGAUUUCAGACGUAGUAGGAGCGGUCCUCAGCCUUUAUUUGAGAAUAUUGCGUUUUGGAGGCGCAAAGAAUAUUGCGGCGGGAAGAAUGGAUAUUGUAGAGUACGUACAGUAUCCGAUCGGGGAGAAAGGAGGGAUCCCAACAAAAAAGGCUAGGGACAAACUAAACUAGGCGUAAGGACGUCGAGGUGGAGGCGAAAGGCUCAAGUGAGUUGUAGAGGCCCUUUGUUCAUUGAGGCGGUAUUCAGUCGGUAGAGGAGUAAGGCGACCACCCGCACCCGAGGGAGAGAGAUCCGUCAAUCUUCUUGUUGCGGAUGAAGCUCUUGCUUUUUCUUUUUCAGUUGCCGUCGGUUAGAGCUCUUUCAUUCUCGUAAAUCAAGUGGAAAGGAAUAGAUUGAAACCAUUGAGCGAUGCCUUUCAUGAGCAGGGAACCUUCCCGCUUGGACCAGGAUUUCGAGUUUCAAGCGCAAGACGAUUCUGGUCUUGUACAGAUUCCAGGGAUGGAUCCCGUCUUGUCGACUUUGUCCCGCAUAUAAGAAGAUAUGAAGAAGUGCGAAUAUUCUUUCAUCAGAUAAAAAAAGAUAUAAGUAGUAAUGAACAAGUGCUCAAGAUUAUUGAAUAAUCCGAUAUUCAUUUCUCAUAAGUAGUAUGAAAAGACUUUCUCAAGCUCUUCUAUAUAAUAAGAUAAGUUUCAAGCUCUGUGGUGGAUUUUCUAAUAAAUAAGUAGUAAUUCAAGCUCUUGGUUUUCAUUUGCUUAAGACAUUGAAUUCGGUCUAUGACCUAACCGGGAAAAUGGACAAAACCCACUACGCGCUUUUCAAUAUUCUUUCUCAAUCUUCUCUUCUUUGAGCCUUUGUCAUUGAGCAGAUUCAUUGAGGGAUUUUUGAGACAUUUUCCAUCUUUUCUCUCGGGUACAUUUGGGGAAGGCAAGAUUCAAUUCGGACACCGAUUCUGAGGGUGUGCUAGUCCCAUUCUGAACUAAAAGAACUCGAAUCGAGAACGUCCGUCUUCCAUAGAAAAGCCCUUUCCUUCUCCAUUCUCCAAUAACCCGGAGGCUAAAAAAAGUGCAGACUCGAGCUAAGCUUGAUAAAGUCCCAAAGGCCUCGCAAUAUUCUUUGCACCGCACCGUGGGGGAUAGUCAUCUGGACCCGGCCAUAGAUCUUUGCUCCUCGCAAUAUUCUUUGUCAAUAUUCUUUGAACCGUAGUGCCAAAGAAAGGUCCAGGGUCCGGAGUCCGCAGUGCCAAAGAAAGGUCCAGGGUCCGGAGUCCGCAGUCCGCAGGAUUUAUCCGGAGGACCAUCAAAGAAAGGUCCAGGUGAUUUAUCCGUAGGACCAUCCGUAAUUAACAGAAGUAGUCCGGAGUCCGCAGGAUUCUUAUCCGUAGGACUAUCCAUAUGGAAGUAGGACCAUCCGUAAUUAACAGAAGUAGGACCAUCCGUAAUUAACCGAAGUAGGACCAUCCAUAUGGAAGGAAGGAGGACUCCCAGAAAGAAGAAGAAGGACUCUAAAACGGAGGACCUGUCUUAUGGCGCCUUCUUUUUCUUCUUCGCGCAUCUGGUCCGAAGGACUGACCGCAGAGGUUAGGAGUCCGACUAUCGAUAGGAUGAAAGUACAGAAAGGAGAAAUCUCAAUCCUAAAAACUCCCAGAAAGAGAAAGCCUAUGGGAGUCCGGAGAAGGAGCCUCCUUGCCGUAGGUUUAGGAG
rnacentral:lncRNA from 1 species